GCAUCUGUGUUCUUUAGGUAACAUGCAUAGUCGCAUUUGUCAUCCGUUCUUAUGAUUAUUCAGAUUGAUUUAUUUUGGGAGAAAAACGACAAAAUAGGUGUCCGGAUUUUGUUUACGUUAUCAGACUGACUUUUAGUCAUAGAUAAGACUUCCGGUUUUAAACAUGCACAAAAACAACCAAUCGUAUGAUAGAUUACAAAAAUGAAAAAUAAAUAAGCCAAUCAGAGCGUUCUCAAUAUCAUGGUUUUUAGAUCGCAAGAACCACAACUAUUAUACCUCCUUAGAGACAAUUAUGUUUUCGCGUGUAUCCACCUGUAAACUACGAUACUACUAUAAUAUACAGAGACUCUCUGUAUUCUGUCUACUUUUUUCUGAAAUAUUUACUAUCUAAGG
rnacentral:lncRNA from 1 species